AUUGGACGCUGGCGGCAUGCCUUACACAUGCAAGUCGAACGGCAGCACGGGUGCUUGCACCUGGUGGCGAGUGGCGAACGGGUGAGUAAUACAUCGGAACAUGUCCUGUAGUGGGGGAUAGCCCGGCGAAAGCCGGAUUAAUACCGCAUACGAUCCACGGAUGAAAGCGGGGGACCUUCGGGCCUCGCGCUAUAGGGUUGGCCGAUGGCUGAUUAGCUAGUUGGUGGGGUAAAGGCCUACCAAGGCGACGAUCAGUAGCUGGUCUGAGAGGACGACCAGCCACACUGGGACUGAGACACGGCCCAGACUCCUACGGGAGGCAGCAGUGGGGAAUUUUGGACAAUGGGCGAAAACCUGAUCCAGCAAUGCCGCGUGUGUGAAGAAGGCCUUCGGGUUGUAAAGCACUUUUGUCCGGAAAGAAAUCCUUGACUCUAAUACAGUCGGGGGAUGACGGUACCGGAAGAAUAAGCACCGGCUAACUACGUG
rnacentral:rRNA from 1 species